AGCACUAUAUUUAGAACUAUGGAUGGGAAUAUUCCCCAUUCUUGGUUACACUGUAGUGCAAGAAAAAUCCUGGCUCUCUCUGUUGCACAACUGACUUAUGCCAUUCUGCUGUUGCUGUAUGGAGUUAAGGAACAUGA
ensembl:snoRNA